AAAAUAAUUUGACAUUGUGUGUAUAGGUCAUAGAUACGUACAGAAUCUCUCUCGCUAAUCUCUCUUACUGAACCUCUCUCUCACCGAUAUCUCUAGCCAAUCUCUCUUGCCGGACCUCUCCCUCCUGUUAAUCUCUGCGGUGCGUUCGGUUUCUCAUCAUUCAAUUAUAAUCGCAAACACAGGAUGGCGUCUUCCUCCAGUCAACUCAGUGUUUGUCCAAUCAAGUUCAUCUCUGUGGUUUUUUCAGUCGUUGUCAGGUCUAAGGCGCAAACUAAUCUAGUUAGUUCUAUUCUAUAUCAUAGCAGAGAGACUCAAAAGUUCAUAUACAUUGGAAAGGAGCAGCAGAAAUGGUUCUAGGAUCCUGCAAAAGAUAUCUUAAGUCAGAUCGUUCCUUGCAACUAAUUGACAAUGAAGUAAUUACUCAUCCCAUGUUUUAAUGGUUUAAAUUAAAAAAUUUGCAAUUUAAGGUGAUAGAAUUAAGAAAUUUCUUCCGGUGUCUUAUAUUUACUUAAAAGCUAAGUAGAACUGGAUUUUAAUUAAUAGAAGUCGCUAGAUUUUGAAUCGCGAUAUCCAUAAUUUACUAUUGCAGUGAUUUUUAAAAAAUGUUGUUGAAGAUAUGGCUGCAAAAAGCCUGCGAUGUGUUGUCAUUGCAUAUAAGAAGUGCGAAAUGGACAAAGUUCUGAAAGAUGAAAAGCAUAUGGCAGAAUGGGUUUUACCCGAAGAUGACCUUGUAUGGAAUGCUUAUGUUGGUAUAAAGGAUCCGUGCCGCCUAGGUGUUAAAGAUGAAGUCAAACUAUGCAGUGAUGCCAGUGUGAAGGUAAACAUAAUAUACUAUACCAUAUUAAGCCUAUGAGUUCAGCCAGGAUGUUUAUGUCCUGAUGAGUUCAGUGCGAUGCUGUUACUGCCUCACUUCUGCAAUUAGUCUGACCUCUAAGGUUGUAGUUUGUUUUUCUUAUUAGCAACAGUGACACAUGAAAGCUAGACUACUAAGCAAUAGAGUAGCUCCUAUUUUCACCCCCUGAGCUAUAUAGGUUGCAGGUAGAACUAAAAUCAGGUGCAAAGUGUAGAGCAUGCUGCAGAUAUGUUAUUGUCUUGAAGAUUGUUAAGCACGUGAAACCUCUUACAGAAACAAUAUUCGAGACUCUUGGUAAUGAACUUCAUUUUUGGGGCGGUAUCCUUUCUUUCUCUUCAGUCUGCUAAUUUCGUAAGGACUGUCCUUUUAAAUGCUUCAUGUUUCAUCUAGCAGUUUUGUUCUAUUUUCCAGAUCAUUAUUAUUUUGUCAUGCUCCAUCUGCAUUAUUAAUAAUAAAUCAGUAUCGUUGAUUAUAUUUUAAUUGAUAGCUCUGUAUUCUAAGUUUUAUUAAUUAUGGAUGAGUCAAGUGUGAUGAUAUUUGGUGUGACUUGUCAAGACGCUUCUUGUUAAGGUCAUUGCUUCGCCGUUUCAUGUAAGCACGUUUUUUAUCUGAUUUAGGAGUGUUUAAUCAGAGUGUGAUUCAGACGCUGCCAGAGCAGCCAUUGGUUGAGAUUCAACAUGAGAAGGAAGAGGAGAGAGUCAUGGUUUUGGAGGGGUGGAGUUUUUGCUAUUCUUGUUCUAGAAUAAAAUCAGUUUGUUUUGAUUUUUAGUGUUUAGCUGUAUUGUUGUUGUGGUUCUACUAUGGAAUCUUUUUUUUUUUUUGUAAAUAAUGUAGUUUGAAAUUAUUCCUUGAAUUUGAUUCUCUUGCAGAACCAAGACAGUGAAUUUAAUUUAGCAGUGUUUAAUCAGAAUGUGACUCAGACGCUGCCAGAGCAGCCAUUGGUUGAGAUUCAACAUGAGAAGGAAGAAGAGGAAAGAGUCAUGGUUGAGGAGGGGAGGAGUUUCUGCUAUUCUUGUUCUAGAAUAAAAUCAGUUUGUUUUGAUUUUUAGUUUUUAGCUGUAUUGUUGUUGUGGUUCUACUGUGGAAUCUUUUUUUUUUUUUUUUUUUGUAAAUAAUGGAGUUUGAAAUUAUUCCUUCAAUUUUGAUUCUCUUGCAGAACCAAGACAGUGAAUUUAUUUAUUAAAUUUUUAAUUUUUGCAUAGUUCUGUAUCGUAGAUUUGGUUCUACGUGAGAAUCUUUUGUAAUAAAAUUUUAAUUGAAAUCAGUAUGUAUUUAUUAAAUUAUUUCUUGAA